AUAUCUCAACCGCACCCUAUGGUGGUGUGGCUUGGAUUUGGGGGUGGUAGGCUUAGUCUGCUCCCCUGAAAUACAUUGGUGGUGCCUGACGUGAUGUGAUAAAUUAUCCGCAUCUGUUUAUGAGCUGCCGUGUCGUGUUGGAGUUGAUAA
rnacentral:misc_RNA from 1 species